AAGGGCUAUUGGUGGAUGCCUUGGCAUUAACAGGCGAUGAAGGACGCGAAACCUGCGAAAAGCUUCGGUGAGCUGGAAAAAAGCAUUGACCCGGAGAUCUCCGAAUGGAGCAAUCCAACCAGAGUAAUGUCUGGUUAUCCUUAACUGAAUCCAU
rnacentral:sRNA from 1 species